rnacentral:rRNA from 1 species
GCUUACGGCCAUACCACCCUGAACACGCCCGAUCUCGUCAGAUCUCGGAAGCUAAGCCGGGUCGGGCCUGGUUAGUACUUGGAUGGGAGACCGCCUGGGAAUACCAGGUGCUGUAAGCU